AGAGUUGUGGCUCAGUGGUAGAGCACUUGCCUGGCAUGUGUGAGGCACUGGGUUCAAUUCUCAGCACCACAU
rnacentral:tRNA from 1 species